GAAAGGGCGCACGGUGGAUGCCUUGACACUAGGAGUCGAUGAAGGACGGGACUAACGCCGAUAUGCUUCGGGGAGCUGUAAGUAAGCUUUGAUCCGAAGAUUUCCGAAUGGGGAAACCCACCAUACGUAAUGGUAUGGUAUCCUUAUCUGAAUACAUAGGGUAAGGAAGACAGACCCAGGGAACUGAAACAUCUAAGUACCUGGAGGAAGAGAAAGCAAAUGCGAUUUCCUGAGUAGCGGCGAGCGAAACGGAACAUAGCCCAAACCAAGAGGCUUGCCUCUUGGGGUUGUAGGACAUUCUAUACGGAGUUACAAAGGAACGAGGUAGACGAAGCGACCUGGAAAGGUCCGUCGUAGAGGGUAACAACCCCGUAGUCGAAACUUCGUUCUCUCUUGAAUGUAUCCUGAGUACGGCGGAACACGUGAAAUUCCGUCGGAAUCUGGGAGGACCAUCUCCCAAGGCUAAAUACUCCCUAGUGAUCGAUAGUGAACCAGUACCGUGAGGGAAAGGUGAAAAGCACCCCGGAAGGGGAGUGAAAGAGAUCCUGAAACCGUGUGCCUACAAAUAGUCAGAGCCCGUUAACGGGUGAUGGCGUGCCUUUUGUAGAAUGAACCGGCGAGUUACGAUCCCGUGCGAGGUUAAGCUGAAGAGGCGGAGCCGCAGCGAAAGCGAGUCUGAAUAGGGCGUUUAGUACGUGGUCGUAGACCCGAAACCAGGUGAUCUACCCAUGUCCAGGGUGAAGUUCAGGUAACACUGAAUGGAGGCCCGAACCCACGCACGUUGAAAAGUGCGGGGAUGAGGUGUGGGUAGCGGAGAAAUUCCAAUCGAACCUGGAGAUAGCUGGUUCUCCCCGAAAUAGCUUUAGGGCUAGCCUUAAGUGUAAGAGUCUUGGAGGUAGAGCACUGAUUGGACUAGGGGUCCUCAUCGGAUUACCGAAUUCAGUCAAACUCCGAAUGCCAAUGACUUAUCCUUAGGAGUCAGACUGCGAGUGAUAAGAUCCGUAGUCAAAAGGGAAACAGCCCAGACCGCCAGCUAAGGUCCCAAAGUGUGUAUUAAGUGGAAAAGGAUGUGGAGUUGCUUAGACAACUAGGAUGUUGGCUUAGAAGCAGCCACCAUUUAAAGAGUGCGUAAUAGCUCACUAGUCGAGUGACUCUGCGCCGAAAAUGUACCGGGGCUAAAUACACCACCGAAGCUGCGGAUUGAUACCAAUGGUAUCAGUGGUAGGGGAGCGUUCUAAGGACAGUGAAGUCAGACCGGAAGGACUGGUGGAGUGCUUAGAAGUGAGAAUGCCGGUAUGAGUAGCGAAAGACGGGUGAGAAUCCCGUCCACCGAAUGCCUAAGGUUUCCUGAGGAAGGCUCGUCCGCUCAGGGUUAGUCAGGACCUAAGCCGAGGCCGACAGGCGUAGGCGAUGGACAACAGGUUGAUAUUCCUGUACCACCUCUUUAUCGUUUGAGCAAUGGAGGGACGCAGAAGGAUAGAAGAAGCGUGCGAUUGGUUGUGCACGUCCAAGCAGUUAGGCUGAUAAGUAGGCAAAUCCGCUUAUCGUAAAGGCUGAGCUGUGAUGGGGAAGCUCCUUAUGGAGCGAAGUCUUUGAUUCCCCGCUGCCAAGAAAAGCUUCUAGCGAGAUAAAAGGUGCCUGUACCGCAAACCGACACAGGUAGGCGAGGAGAGAAUCCUAAGGUGUGCGAGAGAACUCUGGUUAAGGAACUCGGCAAAAUGACCCCGUAACUUCGGGAGAAGGGGUGCUUUCUUAACGGAAAGCCGCAGUGAAUAGGCCCAAGCGACUGUUUAGCAAAAACACAGCUCUCUGCGAAGCCGUAAGGCGAAGUAUAGGGGGUGACACCUGCCCGGUGCUGGAAGGUUAAGGAGAGGGGUUAGCGUAAGCGAAGCUCUGAACUGAAGCCCCAGUAAACGGCGGCCGUAACUAUAACGGUCCUAAGGUAGCGAAAUUCCUUGUCGGGUAAGUUCCGACCCGCACGAAAGGUGUAACGAUUUGGGCACUGUCUCAACCAGAGACUCGGUGAAAUUAUAGUACCUGUGAAGAUGCAGGUUACCCGCGACAGGACGGAAAGACCCCGUGGAGCUUUACUGUAGCCUGAUAUUGAAUUUUGGUACAGUUUGUACAGGAUAGGCGGGAGCCAUUGAAACCGGAGCGCUAGCUUCGGUGGAGGCGCUGGUGGGAUACCGCCCUGACUGUAUUGAAAUUCUAACCUACGGGUCUUAUCGACCCGGGAGACAGUGUCAGGUGGGCAGUUUGACUGGGGCGGUCGCCUCCUAAAGUGUAACGGAGGCGCCCAAAGGUUCCCUCAGAAUGGUUGGAAAUCAUUCGUAGAGUGCAAAGGCAUAAGGGAGCUUGACUGCGAGACCUACAAGUCGAGCAGGGACGAAAGUCGGGCUUAGUGAUCCGGUGGUUCCGCAUGGAAGGGCCAUCGCUCAACGGAUAAAAGCUACCCCGGGGAUAACAGGCUUAUCUCCCCCAAGAGUCCACAUCGACGGGGAGGUUUGGCACCUCGAUGUCGGCUCAUCGCAUCCUGGGGCUGUAGUCGGUCCCAAGGGUUGGGCUGUUCGCCCAUUAAAGCGGUACGCGAGCUGGGUUCAGAACGUCGUGAGACAGUUCGGUCCCUAUCCGUCGUGGGCGUAGGAAAUUUGAGAGGAGCUGUCCUUAGUACGAGAGGACCGGGAUGGACGCACCGCUGGUGUACCAGUUGUUCUGCCAAGGGCAUAGCUGGGUAGCUAUGUGCGGAAGGGAUAAGUGCUGAAAGCAUCUAAGCAUGAAGCCCCCCUCAAGAUGAGAUUUCCCAUAGCGUAAGCUAGUAAGAUCCCUGAAAGAUGAUCAGGUUGAUAGGUUCGAGGUGGAAGCAUGGUGACAUGUGGAGCUGACGAAUACUAAUAGAUCGAGGACUUAACC
rnacentral:rRNA from 1 species